GCACAUUGCAGUGUUAAUGUUCAAACUGUGUAUUUACAAUGUUUAAAUGUUUAACUGUGCAUUGCGCUACUCUAUUUUAAUGUUUGUCAUUGGUGGUAGAGCCAAAUAUUUUCUGAGGUGGCACUUGGCGUAAAAAGUUUGAGAACCACUGAUCUGAGUUAGGCUAUAUUAUAUAUUGAUCCUGAACGUGUGUUAACCGCAAGAGCAACAAGUAUAGGGCACUGUUAAACCCACACAGUUUGUCUGUGGAGUUUCCUCACAAAAUCAAAAUGUGAUUCAUAAGAACCGUGGAAAGCAGCCAACUUGGUAGGAAAUGAGCAUCACGCAUUUCACCAGCACGAUAAUGAUCCGCUUGAUUGUGUUGGCGUUGAGCCAUAACAUAGUAUUUGGCAACGAUGAACUCCCCUUCGUCACCGCAUGUUGCAGAGAUGGCAUAACUUUGCACUGUCCUUUCCUUCAAAACUGUCAGAACUACACCUCUAUUACGUGGUACAAGGUCUACAAUGACAGCAGUGACGGAUCUGCAAUGAAAAUCCUCAUAAAUUCAGAAAAUGGCAUCCAGACUGACAAACACGACGAUUCUGUGUCACUGGAUAAAAAUGCAGCUUUGGUCUUAAGGAAAGUUGCUCGUGCAGAUUCUGGGGAAUACAUGUGUUUAAUUAAAGGCAAAGCUGGAGGAAAGAACUGUCAAAAUCGGGUUAGACUUAAUAUCUCAGACUGUGUGUCAACAACUUCACCCAUCAUCUUUGAUUUCUCCACCAAGUUUAUUAAUGUAUCAUGGCCAAACAUUAGUGUCCCAUUGCCUCAUGUGGAUGACGAUUCAGUGCUUUAUGUCCUGUGGGGUUGUGUAGGACUCGCUGGGAGUAAACUCAUCCUCAGUGCCGUUUCCAUAUGUGUUUUCAAGAAGCUCAGAAAACUUAAAAGAAGACCGACUUAAGACCAACCACUGUUUAUCAGCACCUUGUUUGUUUGCAGAGUUUACUCGCCAUACCUUAUAUGGACAUUCCUUACAUUCUGCAAAUUUGUGUAAAAGACCUUUGGAUGGUUUAGUAAUUUAACAUUUUAAUAAUUAAUCUGUGAAUUUACCUAUGAAUUAUGAUACUCUGAGGAACUGAUACUUUAUACCUGUUAUAUUUAUUUCCAAAAUGGCAUUGCUGUCAUAAGGGUCGAGUCAUGGCAGAACAUUUUCUUAAACUUUGAAAUAAUUUUUGGAGGAACUAUGCAGAUUGAAAACUGUUCUGAUUCAUAAUCCACAUUUAAUACACUGCAAAAGAACAAAUUUCUCUUCAUUAUGGAUCUGUCUUACCAGUGUUAUUCUAGUAUUAUUUAUAUACAUUUAUAGUAUUCAGC
rnacentral:lncRNA from 1 species